CGGGACUGCAGAUUUAGACAAGUGGUGAUCGCCGAAGUGGUGGUCAUGGAUCGUUUCGUUGCGGUGACGUGUUGGGAUUCAGUCCUGCAUUACAUCUGCUAGAUGAAGGUUUGUUGGAGAAAGCUCGACUGGAAGAGAAAGGAAAAGAUGAAGCUAGGACUCGGCGUUUCAGUAGACGGACUGGAAACUCCGUUGGACGUGUUACUCACGAACGCGAGGCACCUACGGAUGUGCAUAACUGCACUCAACAUACUGCUCAUGGGUAUGGGAGGCAUUUGAAAUAUUGUCAAAACUUUUGCUCUAAGCCACAGACACAGAAAAGCAAAGUUGAAGUUCUAGGUCACUGAAAACAGUUUAGAAGUGAUCACUAGGCACAUGCCCUUACUGGCCGUGUUAUUUGAACAGCCAGACCAACUUGGACUGCAAGGCAAG